UUCCAGUUGGCAAAUUCUGCAAGGGGACUAUACUUGACGCCGCAUAUCAAGAUUGCAAAACUAAAAAACAAGCAGCAAACUGCAAAAACAUGCAUACAUAUCUGUCCAUGAUUCGUGUUCCCGCACUCUAAAUUGAUUAGUUGCCGUUGUAUCUGAGCAGCUCCCACAUGUUAAGUUCAGAGAAAACACAAACAAACAGAAUGCCUUCUGACAGUGAACAGAAUUAGACUGACGCUCUCAUAGAGCACAUAAUAAAAUUCAGACAUAGUCCUACUAAGUUCCACAUCCUGUUGACCAGGUGUGGCGCUGGCCGGGGUGCCGCUGGAGAACGAUGGAGAAGACAACCACGCUGCCCCUGACACCCUCUCGUCGGGCAGCAGCACCGGCGCCCAUUUCACCUCACGGCCGACCACGCUAGUCCCCCCCCCCAUGCCGCUGCACGAAAACACACCAAAAUCCCUCUUCUAGACUUGCAAUUCCCUCACGGAAUCGUGAUUCUUCAACAAAUUAUGAAUCCUAUACUGCAGAAAAUGGACAUCCGCAGCUCGAUUUUGCCUCGCGUACACGCAAACGGGGGGAGAUUUGUGUGGGUGGGGUGGAGAGAGCGGAAAAGGGGCCGUAGCUCACCUCAUCAGCGAGGCGCGCAGACUCUGGAGGGGCGCCGCCGAGCAUCUCGCCGCGGGCGUUGACGAGCAUCUCGUCGCCGGCGACUUCCGCCCCGGAAACCUUGGAUGUGACCGCCCCCGUGAUGCGGCUUCCUUCCUUUCCCGUUCUCUCUCUAUGUCUAUGUGCCGCUAGGUGACCUCUAGAAAGAAGUAGAGCCUGGGUCCACA
rnacentral:lncRNA from 1 species